AAUUGAAUGUCGGUACACUUGCCUAAAAAUGGUAAUUUGAUAUCGAUCGAAGCAUUUAGCAUUAUGUAUUAACUCAUUAAAGAAACCAGGGUUACACUUCUAUAAGCCAUACACGCGUUUCGUCUACAAAAAAAAAACAUAAGUGAGGCUAGUAUCAAAAGCGUUAAAAUGCAGAAAAUUAAAGUAUGAAGUUGAAGACCAUUAUAGACCCUAAAUAUAAAAUAAGGUAAUAUUUUUCUGGACUUAAACAUCCGUAAUGUAUUAUAUGCAUCAAGUCACACGAGGGAAAUG
rnacentral:lncRNA from 1 species